CCGUAGCUCAGUGGUAGAGCAACGGUUUCGUAAACCGUAGGUCAAGAGUUCGACUCUCUUCGGU
rnacentral:tRNA from 1 species